rnacentral:tRNA from 1 species
GCUGGGGUGGUGGAAUAGGCAGACACGUUGGACUUAAAAUCCAAUGUCAUCGCGACGUACGGGUUCAAGUCCCGUCCUCAGUACCA